AUUGAACGCUGGCGGCAUGCUUUACACAUGCAAGUCGAACGGCAGCGCGGGCUUCGGCCUGGCGGCGAGUGGCGAACGGGUGAGUAAUACAUCGGAACGUGCCCAGCAGUGGGGGAUAGCUCGGUGAAAGCCGUAUUAAUACCGCAUACGACCUGAGGGUGAAACCGGGGGAUCUUUGGACCUCUCGCUAUUUGCGCGGUCAAUGGCAGAUUAGCUAGUUGGUGGGGUAAAGGCCUACCAAGGCGACGAUCUGUAGCUGGUCUGCGGGGACGACCAGCCACACUGGGACUGGGACGCGGCCCGGGCGCCUACGAGAGGCAGCAGUGGGGAAUUUUGGCCAAUGGGCGAAAGCAUGAUCCAGCAAUGCCGCGUGUGUGAUGGAGGCCUUCGGGUUGUAAAGCACUUUUGGCGGGAACGAAAAGGACUGUGCCAAUACCACGGUUGGAUGACGGUACCGGCAGAAUAAGCACCGGCUAACUACGUG
rnacentral:rRNA from 1 species